rnacentral:misc_RNA from 1 species
UCCGGUUUGUCACCGGCAGUCACGUUAGAGUGCCCGGCGUAACCCGUUGGCAACUAACAUCGAGGGUUGCGCUCGCUGCGGGACUUAACCCAACAUCUCACGACACGAGCUGACGACAGCCAUGCAGCACCUGAACCGGAAGUCCCCGAAGGGAAAACCUCAUCUCUGAGGCGGUCCUCCGUUGUCUAGCCCAGGUAAGGUUCUUCGCGUUGCGUCGAAUUGAACCACAUGCUCCGCUGCUUGUGCGGGUCCCCGUCAAUUCCUUUGAGUUUUAGCCUUGCGGCCGUACUCCCCAGGCGGGGCACUUAAUGCGUUAGCUCCGGCACGGGAGGAGUCGACACCUCCCACACCUAGUGCCCAUCGUUUACGGCGUGGACUAC